rnacentral:tRNA from 1 species
UCCUGGAUAGCUGGUAGAGCACUCCACUGGAAAUGGAGAGGUCCCUGGUUCAAUACCAAGACCAGGCG